UACGUAGGGUGCGAGCGUUAAUCGGAAUUACUGGGCGUAAAGCGUGCGCAGGCGGUUUUGUAAGUCAGAUGUGAAAUCCCCGGGCUUAACCUGGGAAUGGCAUUUGGGACUGCAAGGCUUGAGUGCGGCAGAGGGGACUGGAAUUCCUGGUGUAGCAGUGAAAUGCGUAGAGAUCAGGAGGAAUACCGAUGGCGAAGGCAGGUCCCUGGGCUGACACUGACGCUCAUGCACGAAAGCGUGGGGAGCAAACAGG
rnacentral:rRNA from 1 species